rnacentral:lncRNA from 1 species
AAAUAUCAAAGAAAACAACAAUUCUUUUUGGGGAGGCCAAAACAAGAAAUCAGAAUUCGAAACACCAGGGAGUUUAUAAUUCUCCAUACUUUCUUGGAGUAGGCAAUCUUGUGAAUUCAUGGACGUAUAACAAAUAUACUUCCAAAACAGCCUACUUUUCUUGCAAAAAUGAUUGCAACCCAUAAUAGUGGUUCAGUUCUUAUAGGCUUGGUUUACAACCUGGCCAACUAUCAUAGUACUUCUAGGUGGAUAACUAAUCCAGUCAAACUAGGAUACCAGGUCCUGAUUUAAUAUGUAAGGGGAUCCAAUACUGUAUCUUCAUUACAGUUGCUCCAGCAUCAUUUCUUUCUCGUCGAGUCUCAGCCUGACGGCCUACUCAAGGGUUUCCCACCAAUAAUCAACUAAAUUUGGAAAACCAAAACUUCGCUAAAUUUCUAAGCAUUAGCACAUUUAUUCACCAAAAAUUAUUUAGCCCCUCAGACUAGAGGGUACGUUUGCUUAUCUGGGUUGAGGUCUCAGUUUUACCAUCUGCAUCAAAGUUUUGAAAGAGUUCAUAAGUGGCUAAAUCUGCCACCAACCAAUCAGUUAUAGAUCCUGCUGAAAGUAAGAAAAAAGAAAUCAGCAGGAAUGCUGGAAGCAAUAAGAGUGUUGGCUUACCAUAGGAUCAAAUAAUGUCCCAACAGUUGGUACAACAGAUACACCCAAGUUCUUCAUGAUUUCUACAAAUUGCUUGUAUAUGCCCUGAUAACUUGCAUCAAUUUUCUUUUCCUGCUCUGUCUCUAGUUUGAUAUGUUGCUUGGCUCGUUCAAAGUUAUCUACCAUAGGCAAGAGACUCUCAAUCACUUCUCCCUGGGCAUUACUCCUUAUUGUUAGCUUCUCAUUCUCUGUUCUCUUCCUGAAGUUGUCAAAAUCUGCUUGCAAACGAACAUACUUGUCCUUCUGAGCACCAAUUUCAUCUGACAAAACAGAAACCUUUUCUAACAACUCAUUCCUCUCCUUUUCUACCAUGUGUAUUAUCUCUUCAAAAUCGGAUAUACUUUUCUCAUCUCCAUUUAAAAUGGCCUCCUUAUAAGCUGAGAUAGUAGACUCCAAUCUUGAAGGAAGUUCUUGGUCCGCUUCCUCUUCUGUUUUACUGAGAGGAGUCUCAUCUUCAUCAUCAGUCUAUCAUGUAUCACAUUGAUAUUAUUAAGCAUGCAAUGGCAGCUAUAAAAGUACUCAAAAUUUCUACCAUUAUACAGAAAAUUUAUAUGGUUGAUGAAAAAUUACCAUUACUUGUUACCUUUGUAAAUGAACUGAACAUUGCAUGAGAUAAGAACCAAUAAUAGGUUCAAAACAGAGACACUGACAGAGGAAGCGAUCUCUAAACUUUGAAGUAUGAGACACACACUGUAAAGUAUACAGACAUGGUACACUAACUCUCUCUCUCUCUCUCUCUCUCUGUUUUGAUUCAUUGGUGGUGGUGUAAGGGGAACUCAACUUAACCUCGUCCCGUUUUAAUAGUUUUUGAAAAAAGAGACAAACAAAACUUCAUUUUUCAGCAGCAGCCUUGAAGCCAGCAAGAAACACUAUGAAUGAAAUACUUACUUACAAUUCCUGUCAAUAAGUUGAUUUAGUAAUUUCUCUGAAAGCAGACACCUUAAAGCAAAAUUGAUGAAAGAAAAGAUGUAUCUGUUCACUGUAUUUUGACCAAAUUCCAGCAGAUUUGCACAAUUUUUUAGAAUAAAAAAUCAACUAAAAUAACAACAUCUUUGUUCAUGUUUACAUAUCUAUACUUGAAAUUCAGCUUGUAAUUCCCCAAAAUCAAGCCUGCUUACCAAUAACCAAUAUCAAAAUUUAAUAAAUGAAUCUAAGAUACAUAAAGAAUCAAAAUUGGCUUCGACUAAACACACCAAGCCAAGAAAGAACAUCAGCCACAACUUCCAUCACGAGUUAAAAGCAACUAAACAAAAAAAAAAUUACUUCGGAAGCGGAGUCUUCGGAUUGUGACUGAGAAGCUUUAAGAAAUCGGCAUCUCCUGCUGCUGUUGUUAUUGAUUACCGGAAUGUUUGCAUUUUUGGGCAAACAAAAACAAAAGCCUCUGGAGGAAAUGGGUUUCAAGGGAAAAUGGGUUUGGAAAUAAUUUGAAGAAGAUGAAGGAAGGGAUGGGCGAUGAGGAGAAGCAUAUGAACAAAGAUAAGCUGUUGAAGCUGAAGCUGUUGGUGCCGCCGCCAUAGAAGUUUCUAGUAUUAUCACUGAAGAUUGAAAGGGAGGAGUCUGGUAAUUUCACACCAAGCGGAGGAAGAAGAAGGUGGAGUUGGUGUAGGGGUUUUGGGAUAAGAGAAAACGAUGUCGUUAAGUCAGAAAGCCGAAAACGACAAAAAAGAAUAAAAUAAAAACAAAAGGCCCAACUUAGCCUUAUUCUAGAUACAUCUUCACGCGUGUGCUGCAUUUUCUGGUCUCUCACUAGCGCCAAAACAGCUGCAUUUGAGUUGAGUUCAACAGUUGACAACUCGAAUUUUAACUAAAAUAUCGCUGAGUUUUUAGAAACCGAAUCGUGCUAGCUCGAUUUUAGUUUAACUUUUCUUUUUUGCCGUAACUGCACGUUUAACAUAACCUAACCUACUCUUACUUCUACCAGGGGAACCUACUCUAUAAGAUGGCUUAAUUGAGUCAGAAAACCUGACGAGAACUGAACAAUCAUUAAACUAAACGGAUGCACCACACACUCAAUGGAUUUUGAACUCUUAACCUCCCACCCCACAAUAAAUGCGAUGACCAAUUCCUCUUGAGGGAGUUUUAGUUUAACUUGAGUUCAUAAAAAUUCGAGAUCGAGCUAGAUCGAUUUUAGUUUUACUUGAGUUUGAACUUAAGUUAAUUGAGUUUGAUGAAAUCUAAUCAAGUUUAAUGGAGUCUAUUCAAUCUAAUCAAAUUCACCUAAUAAAAUGAUAUUUCGAUAUUUCGCUUGUAUUAUAAACACAUUUUUUAAUUUACUUUUUUCUAUUUUCAACCAUUUUUUUUAUCUCACGUACAUCAUAUCACAAAAAAUGUUACAGUAAUUAUUUCAAAUAAUACUCUAUCUUACAUAUAAUUUUAAACAAAGAAUAUAAUCGAUAUUUUACAAUAAUAAACAUAAAAAAUAAAAAUAAUAUAUAUGUGUGUGUAUGUGGGUGCAUGUGUGUGUGUGUCGGUUAGAUUUGUCAAGCUUACAAGUUUAGAAAUAUAAUACUCAAGCACGAUUUUUAAGUAUUUUGAAGUUGUUUAAACUUGACUCGAGUUUAGUCAAUGUCUAACUCAAGCCGGAUAGUUGAGUUAGUUACUCGCGAAUUUGAGUCUAAUAGCUUGAUCAACUCGCAGUCCUAGUUUACUGAACGACUACUUGACCCGUGAAAGGGAAAAGUGACCCGACCGGUAGUAUUGAUUGAACACAAAUUUGAACUGUAUCCAUCCGUAGUUAUAAAUCAAUAUGGGUGGGUAAGGGUCAAGUAUGCGCUCCAUGCAUCACUUGACCGAUGUCAGGAUAUGAAAUUGUUGAAUUGAGAUUAAUUGGGUAUAUUUCAAUUAAAGGUCAAAACGAUGUCGUUUGGGUUAGUAGUUAGUUAAAGUAGUUACUUAGCAAUUGCAGGUUGUUAAGUUUGUUAUAAGUAGAGGACCCACGCAUGAGAGAUACAGACUUUGUUUUUGGUAAUCAGAUGUAUUUCAAUUCCUCUUUCUAAAUUCUAUUUCUUCCCCAUUCUCUCUGAUUCUCUCCCUCUCUGCAAUCUUCAGCUCAUUUCCCAACUUAAUCCCCAAUCGUAACUCAGAUAUAAACAAUUGCACUUAAGUUCCUGACAAAUUGGUAUCAGAGCAAGAGAUCCUUGGAAAUUACCAUUAGCAAUGGCAGAAGGCACUAGAUUCCGGUCAUUGGAGGAGCAAGUUAAGAAACAAGAAAUCAAGCUGCAGGAAUUGGUAGAAUCUCUCCAUACAUCACAGUCGGAGCAGCAGCAAAUUAAAAAGGAAUUGAAACAGGAACUGGAGGAGAGUAGCAAACGGAUGGAAGGCCUAUUAUUAGGUAUGGAGCAGAAUUUUCUCAAAAUUUUGGAGCAAAAGCUGAACAAUCUUCUGCUAAGGACUCCUAUGAAGGAGAAGACUACUGAAGGGGAUGGAAGAUUGCCAGUAGAUCAGACGCCACUGUUACCAACUCCACCAGCUCACUGCAGGAUACAACCUGAAGGCGAAGCUCAGAAACUCUUCAAGAAGGACUGGAGUAAGUUUCAGAUUCCAAAUCCUCCUAAAAUUGAUUUACAGCUAUUUUCUGGAGAACAUCCUAGGGUUUGGCUGAGGAAAUGUAAUAAAUACUUUUUGAAUUAUCAAGUUCCACACGAGCAUAAAAUUGAAAUCAUUGAAAUGUAUCUGGAUGGCAAGGCUGACAAAUGGUUCCAAGGUGUAAAAAUUGAAAAGCCUAGAUUAGGAUGGGAGGAAUUUGAAGAUAUGUUAUGUAGGAGGUUUAAUGAUAGAUCGUGUAAGGAUAUAGUGGAAGAAUUCAAUAAACUGCAACAAGUAGGCAGUAUCGAGGACUAUCAGGAGAGAUUUGAGGAGCUGAAGCCUUUGAUGAUGAUCAAAAAUAGAAACCUGGAUGAAAACUAUUUUAUUUCCAGUUUCAUAAGUGGACUUAAGGAAGAAAUUAAGCCUGUGGUCAGGAUGCUGAAACCUGCCACACUAUCUGAAGCCUUCGAGCUAUCUCAAUGGCAAGAGCAAGUCAUAAGAAUCCAGAAUAAAAGCUCCAAGGAAAACACCAGGCCAAUGGGAGAAAACAAAUUUGGCAUAACCAGAAGUGCUAACACUUCUGUUGGAACAAAUUCUUACAAGGUCCCUGCCACUAGCAAUUUUAAGCACACUAAGUUUAGGAGUUCACCAGGGGAUACUAAGGAACCAGCAAAGUUGUCUGCUCAGGAGUUGCAGUAUAGGAGGAGUAAUGGAUUGUGUUUCAGGUGCGGAGAGAAGUAUGGAAUGGGACAUCAGUGUAGAGUGGGUCACUCAAAUUGUAUGACACUGGAAGAGGAGGAGGAUUCUGCAUUUGAGGAUGCCCUUGGAGAACAAGAUGAACAGACUGGGAAUCCUGGACAGGCCAUGGAAGUGUCACUGCAUGCUUUAUCUGAGGCUCUUAAGAGAAAAACUAUUACACUCUCUGGAAUCUUAGAUGGGGAGGAAGUACUGAUAUUGGUGGACACUGGGAGCUCAGACAGCUACAUUAGCAGUGAGCUUGUAAUUGGGAUGGACAUAGGCUAUCAGUGGGUGGAUCAACCAUUCUCUGUCAUAAUGGGGAAUGGAUCAUGUGUCACCAGCAAUGCAAUAUGCAAUGGGGUGCAGUGGAGGAUUAAUCAACACAACUUCAGGUAUAACCUCAAGGUAAUGGAACUGGGAGGUUGGGACAUAAUCCUAGGAGUGGACUGGAUGACACACUUCAGUCCCAUCACAUUCGACUUCCAACAACUCAGGAUAUCCCUGCACCAUGAAGGAGAUGAAAUCCAUCUACAUGGCCAAGCCGAUAACUGUGACAUGGAUUUGAUCAGGGGCAAGGACUUAAGAACAUUUAUAGAAUACAAGAAACAGAUGUGUAUGGCUAUGUGUGGCCAAUAGGAAAAAGACAGACAAGGGAAGUCAGAAACCACACCUCAAGAGGUAGAGGCCCUGCUACAGGACUAUAAGGAUGUCUUCCAGACUCCUAGCUCAUUACCCCCAAGUAGGAGCGUAGACCAUGAGAUUCCUCUCAAACAGGAGGCUCAGCCAUUCAAACUUAAGCCUUACAGAUAUCCUCACUGUCACAAGGAGGAGAUAGAGAGACAGGUUACUGAAAUGCUGCAGAAAGGUAUUGUGAAACACAGUAACAGCCCCUUUGCCUCCCCUGUACUACUAGUCAAGAAGAAGGAAGGCACCUGGAGGUUUUGUGUGGACUACAGGAAGCUGAAUGAGAUCACUAUUAAAGACAGAUUUCCAAUACCCAAUGUAGAUGAACUGUUGGAUGAGUUAUCAGGAGCUGUGUUCAAAACCAAGUUAGCAAUGGAGGCUUUCAGUAAACAGCAGCAACUAACAUUGCAGACAACUAUUACAAAAAAGAUUCUAAGCUAGAAGAAUUACAUGUAAACACUGAAAGUUUCAGAUGAAUUUUCCAGUGACACUCAAUCUCUCGUCAAGCUGAUUAAAAGCAGUAUUAUUGCCUUGAAAAUUUCGUUUUAUUUCAUGGUUCCAAGUGUUCAAAGAGUAGCGUAAGCAAAGAAAUUUGAUCUCUGGAUGAGAGGUUCAUUGCAUAUGGAGAUUUAACACUAAGUUUGGGUUGGGACAUUGGGCCAAAUGUAACAAAGUAUUACGGGGUACAUUCGUGGUAAAUUUCAUUUUCUGGAAGCUGGAACAGAUGAUAGUUACCUAAACAAAGAAACUUACUCCCAGAUUUAUUAUGGAGGAAGAGACAAUAUUUGGCUUUUCUUUUGGGUUGGGGGGGGAGGGGGGGGAAUACACCUAUUAAAAACUUUUGGCCUUCAUAAUGUAAAUACCCCUUAUUUUCAGAGAAAAGAAUUUCUUAUGGGUGGCAUUGCAAGUGGAAGGACAUUUCUGAUAAGUUGGAAGUAUGUCAGGCCAAUUAUAGAGAAGAUUAAUCAUUCUUGUUCUGAGAGUUGUAACUGAUGCUUGGUUACAAAAAGUUACCGAACAAAAUGCUACAUGGAGAAGCCCAACGGCCUAAAAGUUUAAGUUUUAAGAUGAAAACUGCUAUGAAAUGCUCCUUUACAAAUGAAUCGGAGAUUGACAGGAAUCAAGAAUUUCCAAACUUGUCUAUCUAAGAUAAAUCACUACUAUACAAAAAGCCUUUUCUUGGAAAUCAAGUAUGCCAAAGCACAUGAAUUCCAAACCUAUUCUUUAAAACUUUUAAUAGUUUGGGUGCUAUUGUUCAUGUUGCAGAAAUUGAGGCAAGAAUGACCUCUUGCAAAAAAAUAAACAAGAGGAACUUACAAGACAAAAUGAAUCGUGUUCAGCAGCUAAUCUAGGACCUAAGGAACUUCAAUCUCAAAUUGCUAGCUCUCCAAGCUUCGUACUUUUAAUUUCAUCCAGUUGAGUAUUCUCAGCAUGAAAAAUAUCUCAGUCCAUAUGCAUUUUUUGUAGUAGCUUUGUAUUUCUCAAUUACAAUCAUGAAGAACAAUGCUAUUGUGUAUCUUUCCACAUGGAUGCAAACAUUCAACACCACAAACCAUCAGAUGGUAACUGUAAAACUUGACAAGUUCAAUGCCAACUUUCUAGGUCUGAUCUUUCUUUUCCACAUUUUUUAUCCCUCAAGCUUGUCACCUCAAAAUUUAAGUGUCCACCAUCACUCAACAAUCACAACCACAACAGCCUAUUUUCACCUUCUUGGUGCUGUAUUUCAGCUUCCAUUGCAGUUUAUAAAGUUGUCCUGAUUGGAGAGAAGGAAAUAGAGCUUUUGGGGGUGUACCAAGACAGUAUGAAUAUGAAAAUUUUACUGCCUUCACCCAAAACUGAAGGCCAUAGUUCGACUAAAGAGAAUAUGAAUAAAAAAACUGAAUAACAUAAUAGCCCAAAGAGAGUGUGAACAGAAUACAGGAAUUCCAAUAGAGUUAGUGAAAAACAUGUAGAUGAACCCUUUAAUCAUUUCUGUUAUACACAAAGGAUACAUCAAAUGAAGAAAUAUCAAAGAAAACAACAAUUCUUUUUGGGGAGGCCAAAACAAGAAAUCAGAAUUCGAAACACCAGGGAGUUUAUAAUUCUCCAUACUUUCUUGGAGUAGGCAAUCUUGUGAAUUCAUGGACGUAUAACAAAUAUACUUCCAAAACAGCCUACUUUUCUUGCAAAAAUGAUUGCAACCCAUAAUAGUGGUUCAGUUCUUAUAGGCUUGGUUUACAUUGUUUUACAACCUGGCCAACUAUCAUAGUACUUCUAGGUGGAUAACUAAUCCAGUCAAACUAGGAUACCAGGUCCUGAUUUAAUAUGUAAGGGGAUCCAAUACUGUAUCUUCAUUACAGUUGCUCCAGCAUCAUUUCUUUCUCGUCGAGUCUCAGCCUGACGGCCUACUCAAGGGUUCCCCACCAAUAAUCAACUAAAUUUGGAAAACCAAAACUUCACUAAAUUUCUAAGCAUUAGCACAUUUAUUCACCAAAAAUUAUUUAGCCCCUCAGACUAGAGGGUACAUUUGCUUAUCUGGGUUGAGGUCUCAGUUUU